rnacentral:tRNA from 1 species
UUACCUGUAGUUUAAAAAAUAUUGGCAUUGGAAGUCAAAGUUCAGGAUGGUCUACGGUCUCUGCGGGUAAA